AAACAAUGCAACCUGAUCUUCAUACUUCUUUUAACAUUCCUAGCAGGCUGUGAAAUACCUGUACCUCACACUGUCACAUACAUCCUGCACGAUCCUGCUGCAAAACAGAAUCUAUAGAUACACUAUCCUACUGUAAAACAGAAAGCUAUAGAGUACCUUUCUUGACCAAAAAGAUUGAAUAUGUACUGUGUAGACUCUGAACCUACCUUUGAGGCUCCCACUCCUCUAAGAGGACUCCUAUGAGUCCUUCAGUAACUUAUGUUGACUUUUUGUCACUAACAAAUACUUAAAAGGAACAACUACAAGAGAAAAGAUAUCUUUUAGUGUCUCAGAGGUUUCUGUCCAAGUCCAGCUGUAUCAAUUGCUUUGGGUCAGGGUAGGGCAGGCUAACAGGGUUCUAACAAAAAGCCCUGUGAGGGCCCAGGCAGCCCACAAUGACAGCUGUGUGGGUAAUUGUCCUUUUCUUAUCUAAUCUUUUGGAUGGGAGUGAGGGCAGAUCUUCCCUUGCAGGCAUGCCCAGGGCUGUGUUUUGCCAGUCUCCCAGGUGUUGCUCAAAUCAAUGGAGCAUAACAGAAGCUGCCCUUCAACCUUUAGAUUCAGAACUAGAGUGCACUGAAGACCAACCCCUCCAGGGAGUUUUCCGACUUAUACUAUGAUCCAGUCUUGUCUGCCAAGAGGCACACUAGUUUCUAGUAUUGUAACCUUUGGCAGAAUAGCACGUUUGUGUGCGUUUGAGACCACAGGCAGCAGGAUCCCUUGAGAAGACCCACGCUGAGGUCCGGGUCCUGAAAUGGUCUGGUUCCUUGCUACCUUCCUGAUUUUGUCCUUGAUUAUUUCUUCCCUGUUCUUUCCUGUGAUGGCUUCUUCAGUUUAUAAAAGAUGUCAAACACAGUUUCCUCUCUGGGGCCCGGCUGCUGCCAAUGCCUUUGGGGCUCUCACUUACCCAGUUUAUUUAAGUCUUAGCUUAAAUGCCACUUUAUUAAGGAUGCUUCCAUUUCCCUGCCACCUGAACCAGCUUUCUAUAUUCUUGUUGCUAUUGUCCCUCAGUUGUGCUUUAUUUUCUUCCCAGACUUCUGUUUAUCUUGAUGUCUUUUCAAAGUUCAGUUCCAUCUAUAUGUUUAUUUGCUUUUAUGUGUGGUUUUGUCCCCUAGCAGAUGUAGGCCCUCCACAAAUAUUGGUUGUUAACAUUUAAUUCAAAAUGCCUACUAAUACAAUUGUAAACAUUAAGUUGUCUAAAAUGUAUAUAAAUAGCCUCACACUCAUGGGUCAAAUGGGGCAGAGCAUAGGUUAUCAAGCAAGACUCUAAUGACAGCUUCAGAAAUGGGCAUUGGAGCAUUGGCUGCCCUGGGAGCAGCCCUGUCUUUACCACCUGGGCUGUGUGUUCACUACUACAAGGCACUGACACCACAGAGGAAAACCACAUGCAGUGAGGAUCUUCACCACUUCAACUUGACAGCUGGAUGUUCAUGAAGACCGGCAGUUCCCGUCUCUGCAUUUGCACAGGUGGGUAAACGGUCUGCCCCAUGGCUGGACCUUCAAGUGUAUCUGCUGAAUUCACAGCCAACAGGCAUCUUUAUUGAGAGCUGGGUUCCUGACCAUUGGGAAAAGACAGUUUCUCUUAAUUGCCUUCUGUCACUAUAGGAAGAAGAGAAGUGACCGCAACAGAGAGCUCCACAUGUAAGUGACAGGAAACAGGGAUUUUUGUCACCACUUUGGAGCGUGGGAUGGGCAUGCACACCCAGUCCUCAGCUGACCAUUGAACGGAAGUGGAAAGGGCACAGAUCUGGGUAUCACAUCUUGGGGCAGGAUUUGAAUUAAUCUGCUAUUCUCAUUGGACCAGUUACUGCCAAUGUCUAUCCUUCUAUGGGCAUAACUGAGAAUUUUCAUUUGAAGACUCUGUGGAAACAUUUAGUAGAUGUUAAAUAGAUAAACACUCUUUAGCGGUCAAGCAGAGUGGGCCGAGCGUAAGCCCCUCUGUGAGCCCCCAUUAGCUUGGUUUAUGAAGUGGGAAAGCAAUGCAAUGUUCUAGCUCUGUUAGGCUCAGUGGUAACAUACCACUAGGCUGCUUCUGCUGGAUGCUCCCAAAUGCAGCGUUAUUACUGUUGCUAGGUUCUAAAGAUGCAACCGAGGGGUGUCACAAGUGUGUUUGUAAAGCAGAACUCAGAUAUUUAGUAUAUUGCCAUAAAGAAAAGGAAAAAUAAUUUUAAAAGCACAAAAAUCCAAUUUAGUAUACGAGGUAAUAAAAUGUUGAGUUACAUUGUUGAAUAGAAUAUUGUCUAAUAUAUGUAAAAACUAAGUAGAUAGAAAUACUUUGCACUUUGCUUUUAAUUCGUAUACUUUCUUAUGUUUUAUGAAUUUCAGUGCUCCCUAAAAGCAAGAGAAAUGCAGGCUUGCUUCUUUUCCACGGAGUCACAAUUCUGACAUUUGAGGGUAAAAAUUAUUAAACCUGGAUGUCCUCAGACCUCUUGGUAAGCACCUUUACUGGCUGAGUCCUCAGAUGACCCUCAGAGAAUUUAGCAGUUUUAUCCAAGAAGAAACAGCAGGCCUCCAAAAAAAAAAAUGCCCCAUGCCCUACCUACUUCCAGAACCUGACCUAAGCUGCAAACACUGCCUUGCCAAAGUAGACCAGUUCCCCCAAGCUCUUCAACAAGAAAAUCUCUUAGGUCUGCUGGGUCUUGUGAUGGAAGGUCUAAUGAUGCCCUGUGGCAGGCAGACUACCUGUAACCCCAUCAAAGCCUUCAAUGGUAACGUGGAGGAGUCCAGGCUGCCUGUCCAUGUAAAAAGUAAGUCUCCGUCAUUCUUAAUUGGUUCAGAGGCUGUUUGCUCUUUACUUCCUGCUCAAAUAUAUCCUUCUCAGAUCUCUGGGAUGGCAUUAGUGGAGGGCCCAAGCUUUAUUAGACAGCAAUCAGCAGCAAGCUGACCUCAGCCAGCCCCUCCUGCUAAGCGGCAGCUGCUAGGGCGGUCCAUUCAUAGCUAGAAAGUCCGCUUUCAUCUAAUCCAUUUUAGCUUCCCAAUAGCUUUGGUUACUAGAGAUGGACAUGUUACCUGCUGAUGAUACACUUAAAAACCCCUUUUGAAAAAGUUUAAAUUACCUGCAAAUUACUGGAGUCUCUUAAAUAAAAAGGCUUCGAGGCUGAGGAACAAUUAAUGACCUGCCAGCCUGAAUUCAUUUUAUCUGUAAAACGCUUUUGCUUUUCCUAAAGCUAGUAGGUCUCCCACUGAGAAAGACAAACUCCCAGACAAGUUUACCUUGCUGACAGGCUUCAUGUUGAGAAAGACAAACUCAUGGAUUUAGAUGUAAAAGCUACCACGAUGUCAUUAUUGACUUAGAAUGUACCUAUUACUAUUCUUCUUUUAAAAACUCUCUUUUCAAUGAGGGCUUUCAGUAACAGAAGACUUGUGUCUCAAGAUAAGUGAUUAAAUGUUUUAAAAAAUGUUUAAAUUAUGAGAGUUACUAAGAUCUGAGGAAGUGACUUAAGAGGUGUGAGUGUACACUGUGAAGGUCUGAGGAAGUAAUUUAAGGUAUGAAAAAGUAGACUUAAAGAUGAUAUAUAUGAUGUUAAGACUUCGAAGUUUAAAGUUAAUCCACAGAGUUCAGAUAGUUCAUUAAUCUAAUCUUGGUAGUAUUUCCAUUAUCAUGGUCACAGACUCAAAAUUGGUUGUUUUCUUUUCUAGCCUUAACAUGUUUCCUAUGGUACUAAGAGUAUCUCUGCUCAGUGUAAUACAUCCAGCUCUCUGGACAGAGGAGUGUUCGCUUUAUUUCAGACCAUCUUUUGCAUCCUCAAGCUCUUUGUUUCUGUAAUGAGACAGAAAUUGCUGUAUUAUGACAAAUGAAAGCUUAUGCUUCCACCAUGUUGAUAACUGUGGUGGUUUGAAUCAGAAUGGUCCCUACAUGCUUAUAAAUUGAAAGACUGAAGGAGUAGCCCUAGUUGAAGGGAUCAGGAAGUAUGGCCUUGUUGGAGGAAGUGUGUCACUGGGGAUGGACUUGGGGGUUUCAAGAGCAGAAGCCAAGCCCAGUGUUCCCUUCCUGCUUCUAUGGAUCCAGAUGGACAACUCCAAACUUCUGCUCUAGCGCCAUGUCUGCCUGCACCCCACCAUGUUUCCUACAGGGAGAACAGUGAGUGAAACCUCUGAAAGUGUAACCCAGCCCCAUUGAAAUGCUUUGCAUUGUACCAGUUGCCAUUGUCAUGGUGUCUCUUCACAGCAACAGGACACCAAUAAGACAAUAACUUUCCAAGUUUUACCUUGUUAUGGUGCAAAUAUACAAAUCUGCUUGAGCAGUUUACAGACACUUAUUUCCUCCUGUUCCUUUAGCAGGACUUCAGUGCAUAUUACAUACUAAUAUUUCUAAAACUUACCUUUUUUUUAAAAUCAACUUUAAAGGAUCCAGGCAAGCUUUUAGGGAGUUGUGACUUGGAGCCAUCUGCCACAGGUCAAAUGAACCCCUUCUUCCCCCUCCUGUUUGGUGUAUGUUCCGUUUGUCCUCCAGACCUUCUAGGCUAAGGGACAGACCUGGAAGUAGUAAGUGAAGAGCCCCCUAAGCUCAUUAGCUUUACCUUCUGUCCCCAGUCCUUAUCUGUCCCAGCAGAUUUCCACUCAGGUGGUAGACACCAUCUAGGAAUCAGAUGUGGUCUAGAAUCGGCUUCAAAACAGACCCAUCUUCAUAGCUCCAGAUCAUUCUGAAGACCUGGCUAUCUCUGGGCUUACUGAAAGCCAGUGUAAAAUAGUCUGACCAAAGGGAAAAACUGGCUUGUGAACUAUGGCUUCCAGAGACUAUGUCUAAGUUGGAGUUCUUGCUAUGCUCCUCACUGGGACCCUGGUUUCUCUUCCUCCUUGGCCUACUGGUUUCUAUCCUUCUUAUAAUAAUGAUUGCUCUUUGUCUUCUCCAGUUCCUUCUAGAGAGAAUUUGUGAAAUAACCUGAAGUUCAUUAGGCCAGAUGCUUCGGAAGGAAUUUCCUCAGGUCUCCUACCAUUGUCAGCCAGCUUGAUUACUGGUUUUGGACCAGCAUUCCAGGCUCCCCUUUUCUCAAGGACCCCAGCAACAGGAAGUAACCAGAGGAUUUAUCAUCUCUUAUCAUCAACAAAAGGCUGAACUGUUAGGUCUAAAGCCACUUCCCCAAGUACCACCAUUGCCACUACCAAAAUAUAAAAAAAAAGGCACUGCACUGCUGAUGACAUCAUCCCAAACAGAUCAAUCACUAACAGAGUAAGCAAGCCUAAGGGUGGGUUUACCAGAAAUGCAGGUCUCCUAAAAGGGUUUCUGUUUGCCAGAAACUACCUUUUUUUUUAAACAAAAAUUUAUUUAUUUACAUUUCAAAUGUUGCCUCC
rnacentral:sRNA from 1 species